rnacentral:RNase_P_RNA from 1 species
CCAGCCGGCCGGGCGGCCGCACCAGCGAGAGCCGAAAGGCUGCGGGUGAGGAAAGUCCGGGCUCCAUGGAAACACGGUGCCGGAUAACGACCGGCGGGGGCGACCCCAGGGAAAGUGCCACAGAAAGCAAACCGCCGCGCUUUGCGCGGUAAGGGUGAAAGGGUGGGGUAAGAGCCCACCGCGCGACUGGCAACAGGAGCGGCAAGGUAAACCCCACCGGGAGCAAAACCGAAUAGGGAUGGUAUGAGGGGGAAACCUCUCAGGGCUGUUUCCGGCCCCGCCAUCCGGGUAGGUUGCAUGAGGCGCAUGGCAACAUGCGUCCAAGACGAAUGGUCGCCACGUUUUUGCGCCGCAAGGCACAAGGGCCAUACAAAACCCGGCUUAUAGGCCGGCUGGCAUU